GGCCCUCCCGGCCUUCCCGGCAGCAAGGGCGAGCGAGGCUACAUGGGCCCCCCAGGGGAAAAAGGGGAGCCGGGUCCCCCCGGCUUGGACGGCAUCCCCGGUCCCACGGGACCAGCGGGGCCGAGGGGCGAGCGGGGCCUCCCGGGCGGUGCCGGCGAGAAGGGCGACCAGGGCUUCCAGGGACAGCCUGGCUUCCCGGGGCCG